AUGGGAGGAUCAGAAUCAACAGAAUCAACAGUACAAGCUAAACCACCCUCACAAGAAUUUGAUAAAGAAUGGAGGGAUACACCCUGGGAAAAGAAAGAACUUUUGGAGGAAAACCUCAGGGAACUUAAGCUGGGCGACUCAAAUGUUAAGUACAUCAGGAUCUUGCUUGCUGGAGAAGUUGGAGGGCAGGAUGUCGACCUGCUCCCCCGCCCCGUUCAUGUUUUCGUCGCCUUGGACACCUGGCCCUACGCACUGCAUCGGCUGGCCAGCACUUUACCAAACCCUGCCAUUUACCUGCAAC
ensembl:lncRNA